rnacentral:rRNA from 1 species
UACGUAGGGGGCAAGCGUUGUCCGGAUUUAUUGGGCGUAAAGAGCGUGUAGGCGGCCACACAGGUCAGCUGUGAAAACUCGAGGCUCAACCUCGAGACGUCGGUUGAAACCGUAUGGCUAGAGUCCGGAAGAGGAGAGUGGAAUUCCCGGUGUAGCGGUGAAAUGCGCAGAUAUCGGGAAGAACACCCGUGGCGAAGGCGGCUCUCUAGUACGGUACUGACGCUGAGACGCGAAAGCGUGGGGAGCGAACAGG